rnacentral:lncRNA from 1 species
CGCGCCGGGGCCGGGCCGGGGUCCGGCCGGAGCCUCCGCUGCCUCCAGCGCCGCGCCGCCCCCGGGGCUGCGGCUCUGCCCGCGCCGCCGCUCCCGCGCCAUGGGCAGCCGGGGAAGCGGAGCCGAGCGGAAAAUGACAAAAAGGAGCAUGCUCACACCAGUGCAGUGGAGCAGUCAGGAUGCGAGUGAUGGGAAGGGCUCAGCCAGCAAAACCCUGCAGGUAGGAACCCCUGGUUUGGUGCCAGGAGCGGGCUCUCCCCAUGAUGCUGGGUUUUCAUCCCUCCUCUUUCCUGAACUGGCUCUACCCAGGGCUCUCGUGUCCUGCCAGCCUUCAUCCCCUGGAGUUUUUCAUGCCCCCAUGAGCUUGGCUGUGAUGUGCAGGCCCCUGUGCCUGUCAGCCCUGUCCUUCUGUGCCAUGCCCUCAGCAUCCACAAAUGCAGGCGCACUGGGACUCAUCUGCUGCAUCCAAACUGUGGUGAGAGUCUUUGCACCUGGGGUUCUUUCCAUCCUAUGUUGUAUUUAUUUUUUCUUUUUCUUUUUUUUAAGCCACAUCUAUUCUCUUUUGCUUAGGUCUUAACAGUUCAGGCAUGUAGUGCCGGAGCUCCUUGUUCAGCUCCCAGUGUGUCAGCCAAAAUAGCAGCGGCCGCAUACCGUUGGGGAGAGGGACAAGUGUUGCUGAGAAUUAAAAUGACAGAUCCCAGUAUCAAGGUCUCGGAGGGUUUGUGCUUUAUUAAGCAACAGUGAGUUCAUGGGAAAGGACUUUCACCCGGAGCACUGGUUGUGUCUACAAGAAAAGAAAAGGGGGGCUAUAUUUAGGUUCAGCCGUGUGACAGGGAGGCGCUGCGGGGAGGUGAGCUGGGCAUCCUUGUACCCCGCAGCAUCCUCGUACACCCUGCAGCCUCCUUGUCCCUUUGGCACAAGGGGAUCACAGCCCUGAGUGGGAGCUGAUGCUUGCACCCAGCCGUGCACAGCUUAGAAACAUCCUCUGAGAGAAGGAAAUCCUGGUGCUCCCGUGGCAGGAUGCUGGGCACAUUGGGCAGGUAGCGGUGGGCUGUGGGCAGCGCAUCCCUGCUCCACGGCUCCAUUUCCUUGCUGGCUGUGGCUCUGCAUGGUCGUGGUGCUUUGAUUCCUGCCCAUGGUCCCUCACGCGUUUCCCUCCCAGGUUUGAUUUUUCCCUAAGAUGAGGUUUCACGAUGAUGGGGUUUAUUUUAAUAGAUUGCUGGUUUUUAUCUCUGCCUUAGGAUCUCCCUCUGCGUGCCACCCCCUUCUAUUAAAAAUUCGUAACUUCUCUCAGAUACCAUUGCUAGAGGGGGAUAGGGAAGAAUAAAGAUGGUUCAUGAGAAGGAGGGAAAAAAAUU